rnacentral:lncRNA from 1 species
GUUCCGGGGGGGCCACCGGUCCCCGACCCCCCCGGGGCAGCCGCCUCCCGCGGACCUUCGCCCGCCGCAGCCCUGCGAGGGCACCCGCCGCAUGGCACCCGGGGCGCCGGGGACCCCGCGGACCCCACAGCCCGGGGACACCAGGGACACCGGGGACCCCACAGCCCAGGGACACCAGGGACACUGGGGACCCCACAGCACAGGGACACCAGGGACAAGGCAUCGGGGACACCAGGGACAUGGCAUUGGGGACAUCAGGGACCCCACACCCCGGGGACAAUGGGGACAUGGCAAUGGGGACACCAGGGAUCCCGCGCCCUGGGGACACUGGGGACAUGGCAAUGGGGAUACCAGGGACAUGGCAUUGGGGACACCAGGGACCCCGUGCCCUGGGGACACUGGGGACAUGGCAAUGGGGAUACCAGGGACCCUGCACUCCAGGGACACCGGGGACAAGGCAUCGGGGACACCAGGGACAUGGCAUUGGGGACACCAGGGACCCCGGGGACCCUGCAACCCAGGGACACCAGGGACAUGGCACGAGGGACACCCACACCCAGGGACCCCACACCCUGGGGACACCAGGGACGGGGGCGCCCUGGGGACAUCGACAUCCCAAGGACACCGAGGACACGGGCACCCCGGGGACACCGGGAUCCCCGGACACCCAGGAGGCGUGGGGCACCCAUGGGCCCUACCGAGGAAGGCCAGGCAGGCGAGGAGGAGGAGGAGGAGGAGGAGGAGGCCACCGGACCCCCAGAGCCACAGGGCGCCCGUGGGCCCCGCGCGGCCGGCCGCUGGGGACAGAGGCCACGGUGACACCGGCCCUGGCCACCGACCUGGGGAAAGGACCCAGGCGUCCGGGCCCCCCGCGCCCCAUAGCCCCCCCCCCCAAAUCCAGCAGGGGACCCAGGUGUCCGGGACGGGGUGUCCCCCCCUUAGCGGGGGCUCAGGACCAAGCCCCCCCCCCAGUGUGGUCCUAGGGCUGGGCUGGCAUCGCCAUGGGUCCCCCAUGGGUCCCCCAACCCCCCCAUGGGUCCCAGGGACACCCGUGGGUCCCACAGCCCCUCUUGGGUCCCCUGGUCAUCCCAUGGGUUCCUCAACCCCCCAUGGGUUCCCCAGCCACCGAUGGGUCCCCCAACACCCCCCCAUGGGACCCAUGGCCACCCAUGGGUACCUGAGCCACCCAUGGGUCCCUCGGUCACCCCAUGGGUCCCACAACCCCCCAUGGAUCCCUGAGCCACCCAUGGGUCCCUCAACCCCCCCAUGGGACCCAUGGCCACCCAUGGGUCCCCCAGCCUCCCAUGGGUCCC